UCAUUUUACAGCUCAGAACUUCUGGGUGGGAGCUCUGCUGUACGGGCUGGAGCUCAUUUACUCACUUACUGAGAUGUGUGAGGUUCUGUUUGUGGUUCUGUUUGUGGUUCUGUUUGUGGUUCAGUUUGAGGUCCAGUGUGGUGCAGAGUGAGUUAUGUUCUGAUUCACACAUCAGAACUACUUUAUCAGACUUUAUGAGGUUCUGUUUGAGGUUCUGAUGGAUUAUAUUUAAGGUUCUGAAGUUUGAGAUUCUGUUAAGGUCCAGUCUUAGGUUAAUUUUGAGGGAUUUUUUAAGGCCCUGAAUGAGAUUCUGUAUGAGAUUCAGUUUAAGGUCCAGUUUGGGGUUCUGUUUGAGAGUUAAUUUGAGGUUCUUUUGCAGUUUGAUUUAAGGUUGUGUUUGUGGUUCUGCUCAAUGUUCUGUUUGAAGUUGUGUUUGAGGUUCAAUUUAAGUUCUGUUUUUUGUGGUUCAGUUUUGUCUAAGGUCCUGUUUAAGGCAAUGUUUCAGUUUCAGAUUCUUUUUGAGGCUCUUAUUAGGUCCAGUUUGAGGUUCUGUUUAGGCUGGUGUUUGAGGCCCUGACUAGGUUCAGUUUGUGGUCUAGUUUGAGUUCAGUUUAAGGUCUUUUUUGAGGUUCUGUUUAAAGUCUUUGUAUCAGGUCCUGUUCAAGAUUCUGUUUGUUGAGGUUCUGUUUGAGGUCCAGUGUGAAGCAGUGAGGUAUGUUCUGGUUCACACACCAGAACUACUUUAUCAGAUUAUGAGGUUCUGUCUUAGGUUCUAAACGCAGCCCUGUUCAUGGUUCUGGUGGAUUAUAUUUGAGGUUCUGAGGUUUGAGAUUCUGCUUAAAGCCCAGUGUAAUCCUCUUUUUGAGUUUCUGCAUGGUGUCCAGUUUGUGGUUCUGUUUGAGAGUUAGUUUGAUGUUUUGUUUGAGGUCUGAUUGGGUUCGGUUUGAGGUUUGAUUUGAGGUUGUUUAUGGUUCUGUUUGUGGUUCUGUUUGAGAUCCAGUGUGAUGUAGAGUGAGGUAUGUUCUAGUUUUUACACCAGAACUACUUUAUCAGACUUUAUGAGGUUCUUUUUGAGGUUCUGAUUGUGGUCCUGUGGCCCCGUUCAUGGUUCUGAUGGAUUAUAUUUGAGGUUCUGAGGCUUGGGAUUCUGUUAAGGUCCAGUAUAAGGUUUUGAGGUCCUGUUAAAUGCCACGUUUGAGGUCUGGUUUGAGUUCAGUUUAAGGCCCAGUGUAAAUGUUUGUUUGAGGUUCUGUUUGAGGUUUGAUGUAAGGUUGUGUUUGUGGUUCUGCUUGAUUUCCAGUUUGAGGUUCUAUUUGAGGUUUUCUGAGUUCUGUUUGAAGAUGUGUUUGAGGUUCUGUUUGAGGCCUUUUUCAUGGUUCUGGUGGAUUAUUUUUGAGGUCCAGUCUAAGAAUCUGUUUAAGGUCCUGUUUCAGUUUCUGUUUGAGGUUCUGCUUAAAGGUUCCGUUUGAGGUCUUAUGUGAGGUUCUGUUUGAGGUCUUAUGUGAGGUUCUGUUUCAGAUUCUGUUUGAGGUUCUAUUUAAGGUUCUGUUUGAGGUUCUGUUUCAGUUUCUGUUUGAGGUUCUGUUUGAGGUUCUAUUUAAGGUUCUGUUUCAGUUUCUGUUUGAGGUUCUGUUUGAGAUUGUUUGUGGUUCUGUUUGAGGUUCUAUUUAAGGUUCUGUUUGAGGUCUUAUGUGAGGUUCUGUUUCAGUUUCUGUUUGAGGUUCUAUUUAAGGUUCUGUUUCAGUUUCUGUUUGAGGUUCUAUUUAAGGUUCUGUUUCAGUUUCUGUUUGAGGUUCUGUUUGAUGUUCUAUUUAGGGUUCUGUUUGAGGUUCUGCUUGAGGUUCUGUUUAAGGUCCAGAGUGUUCCUCUAACAUUCUCUGAUAUAUGUUCUGUUUGCACCGCAGACCCACUUUAUCGGAUCAGAAUCAUGAGUACUCACACUGUUUGUACCAUUUUAUAAAACUGUAUAUAAACUGUAUAUAAACUUUAUAUAAUCUGUAUUGUGGCUGUAUGUGGACGCUCUGCUUUACCUCACACUGAGAGAAAACUCGACCUGACAGCACAUACAGCACUAAAUACAUCACUGUUAGAUGUGAGACACUGAUUUAUAGCUCUUUUAUGAAUCUGAUCACCUCUCUCUGGAGUAAAGUACACGCCCACUGUGUAGUAAACGCCAGCAUUAAUGCUGGAAAUAGCUCUGGUGUUUUAGAUACAGGAAAAAGGAACUGCUAUUAUAAUCAAUAUUAAUAACUACAACUCACCAUUAUGAAUAUUAUCUGAGUAAUUUAACCCAGUAUAUAAAAGAGCACUUCAGUUUCUGAAUCAGUUUCUCUGAUUUUGCUAUUUAUAGGUUUAUGUUUGAGUAAAAUGAACAUUGUUGUUUUAUUCUAUAAACUACAGACAACAUUUCUCCCAAAUUACAAAUAAAAAUAUUCUCAUUUAGAGCAUUUAUUUACAGAAAAUGAGAAAUGUCUGAAAUAACUAAAAAGAUGCAGAGCUUUCAGACCUCAAAUAAUGCAAAGAAAACAAGUUCAUAUUCAUAAAGUUUUAAGAGUUUAGAAAUAAUCAAUAUUUGGUGGAAUAAUCCUGUUUUUUAAUCACAGCUUUUUCAUGCAUCUUGUCAUCAUGUUCUCCUCCACCAGUCUUACACACUGCUUUUGGAUAACUUUAUGCUGCUUUACUCCUGGUGCAAAAAUUCAAGCAGUUCAGUUUGGUGGUUUGAUGGUUUGUGAUCAUCCAUCUUCCUCUUGAUUAUAUUCCAGAGGUUUUUAAUUUGGUAAAAUCAGAGAAACAUCAUUUUUAAGUGGUCUCUUAUUUUUUUUUUACAGAGCUGUAUCUAUAUACAUGGGUGCAGAAGUUGUACUUAAGUAGAGUAGAACUCAAUUACUAAUUGAUGAUUCAUAAAUAAAACUUAUUUUUGUUCAGAAUUAGCUUUAUAUUUUCUGCUAACGAGUAUUAUUUUCAUUAUUAUUGAAAGUAAUUAUGUUUAUCAGCAAUUAUCAACCACGUUAUUUUGAGUAUCAGCAUAUAAAACUCAACCUGAACUGAAGCUGCAGUGAAAACCUGGAAAAGCAUCAUAAAAAAAGAAGAAUGCAAAAGUUUAGGUCAAUAAAUGAAUAUGUCAAUAGCUAACAGGCUUGGGAUUAGGUUUUAAUCACUUUUAUCCAUUAUUUAACCCAUUAAGUUUAUCUGUUCUAAUAGUUUUGCUAAAACAAAACAUGUGUAGGUUCAGACAGAAGGUCUAAAUGUAAAUACCUGGAAAUAAAAGGACUGACCUCAUUGUUUUAAUACCUUUGAAGUAUGAUUAUAAUAAUUAUAAUAAUAAUUUGCCACGUUGUGUUUACUGUUAUUCUAUAAUCUAUUGUCUGUCCAAUAUUUCCUGAGAUAAAGAUAAAGAGUUAAAGUAAGUGUGUUUCUGGUGAUUAUUGGAAUGAUUAACCCUAUAAUUUGAGUAUUUAGAGUAUUUAGAGUAUUAGCGCAGGUGUGCUGCUGUAUGAUGAAGUGUUAAGUGUGUGUUGGGGGGGCAGUAUUACGCCCCCCGCAGGCUCUCAGUGGGAUUAAAAGAAGCUGAGAGUUUAUUGCAGUGUUUCAUCUCCUCGUCUGCGUCUGGUUUAUUCACUCGCUCAGGUUAGAGAUAGAGAUAGAGAGAGAGAGAGAGAGAGAGAGAGUGAGAGGGACUGGUUCAGAUUAUCCCUCUGCUUCUGAUUGGUUCUCACUUCCUCACUGUUUGAGGUUCUGCAGACCCGGUUCCCCCAACAGAAAAUAUUAAAGCGAUAGUUCACCAAAACUCAGAUUCUACCGGUUUUCUCUCCUACCGCACACAGAGACUCUCAGUGGUAAAUAUUUGGUAAAUGUUUAGAUGUAUACUGUAAUGUAGAGAACAUGCUAUAGUAAGAUUAUAAACACCUUUUAACAUCCGGAACGCAUUCAGCUCUUUUUCUUAUCAUUAGCCCAGACUGAUAGAUAGAUAGAUAGAUAGAUACAUAGAUAGAUAGAUAGAUAGAUAGAUAGAUAGAUAGAUAGAUAGAUAGAUAGAUAGAUAGAUAGAUAGAUAGAUAGAUAGAUAGAUAGAUAGAUAGAUAGAUAGAUAGAUAGAUAGAUAGAUAGAUAGAUUCUAGACAUCCAGCAGCAGGCAUGCACAGUACACAAAAGUUACAAAAGAAGGAUAGGACAUAACGAUACAUAUAAAAAUACAAUAAAAUAAAAUAUAAAGUAUAAAAGUACAGUCUUAUAAUAAUAAAAAUAAUAUUUUAUUUAUAUAGCGCCUUUCCUGAAAACUCAAAGCGCUUAACAACACGGCCAUAGACAAAAGGCAUAGUGAAUAAAAACAAGCAUGCAAGCACUUACACGGUACAGUGCAAGUAUUUAUACAUAAAAAAAGAGACAAUUAAAAAAAAACAGACAAUAAAAUAAAAAAUAAAAUAAAGUAUGCAGGUAAAAAUAUAUUAACAGCAGUAAGCUUUCCUAAAAAGAUGAGUUUUAAGUAAAGAUUUAAAAGAGUUUAGGCUGUCUGCAGCACGAAUAUUACUUCUAUUAUAUUACAUAGUCUUGGAGAAUGGAGGUAGUGCAGUUGAACGCAGUAAAACAACAAUGAACACCAGUUGAGGAUAACUGAUGUCAGACAUACAGAAAGUGUAAAUACACUACAGUUAUAUAAUAAUUUAAAUUUUGCAGUGCAAACUGAAUAAACUACUAGUGCAACAUACACUGAAUUUAAGGCGUGUCCAGAAUGGUACUGCGUGUUUAAUUUAAUCUUACUCCUACUUUACUCCAUAUUUGUAAUGCCAGACAGAUAGGAUUGACGCUCGCCGAGUAAAAGGUAAAGACGGGUUUAUUUACAGAGUAGUAAACAGAGUAACACAGCCAGAGAGCAGGUUGAACAACACUCACACUGGAAGCAGGAAUCGUAGUACAGGAAACAGUCCAAGAUCCAAAGCCAGAGAGACAGUCCGAUAAUUCAACAAAUCCGAUAAGGGCAAAAUCCGUAAUACAGAAAAAAAGGUCAUAACAAAAGGGCAGUCAGGAAAACGCUCAGUACGCAACAUGAGACGACAAUACCUCGCAAAGGACAGACGCUGACUGAACCCUAUAUAUACAAAACCUAGAAUUAUUAUGAACCGGAACAAAUCAGAACACAGGUGACUCAGAACGGGGGAGAGUAACACGAUUGGGUGAAGGUGAGCGGAUGACGGUGACGUCAUCGCCAGUGGGUUUCUGGGAAAUGGAGUUCGGGAGUGUGAGAGGAGAGUCUAGAGACGUGACAUUAAUUACAAUACCACUCUAAUUAAUGAGGUGCUAAUUAGUACUAUAUUACCUCCAUCUGUUUACGGUGUACAGGUAAUACAGUAAAGUCGGCUGUUAUUAAUGAUUAUUAGGUUGUCGCAGUGUUUUCAGUGUAUUCAUUCUGAAAUUUCAUAUUAUGAUAACAGAAAUAGCUCACAGUUAGCACAAACAACCACAUGUUUUUCACUACUAUUACACUCAAUUUGUGUGGGGGGGUAGUAAUGCUAUCAGUGUGUUUGGGGGGCAGUGUUGGGGGCAGUAAUAUUUGGUGGUGUGUAGUGAGGGGGCGGAGCCUGCAGCUGUGAUGGACAGCAGUGUGUAUGUUUAUAGUGAACACUAACAGUGAGUGUGUGGAGCUCUGGUGUGUUUGGAUUUGUGCGCUGGUGAGUUUGUGGUGUGUAAAUGCUGUGUUAUUACAGAUGAGUUACACAGACAACAGUGUGUGUGUGUGUGUGUGUGUACGUGGCAAACGUGUGUGUUUAUGUAUGAGAGAGACAGUGUAAGAGAGAGAGAGUAAUAGAGAGAGAAAGAAAGAAGGAAUAGAGAGAGGGGAGUUAGAUACAGAAAGAAAGAACCGAUAGAGAGGAAUAGAGAGAGAGGUAUGUAGAUAUAGAAAGAAAGAAAGAAAGAAAGAAUAAAAAAACGAUAGAGAGAGGAAUAAAGAGAGUGUGGUAAAUACAGAAAGAAAGAGAAAGAAAGAAAGAAAGAAAGAAAGAAAGGAAGAGAGGAAGCAAUAGAGAGAGGAAUAGAGAGAGGGAGGUACAUAUAGAAAGAAAGAAAGAAAGAAAGAAUAAAAAAGCAAUAGAGAGAGGAAUAGAGAGAGGGAGGUACAUAUAGAAAGAAAGAAAGAAAGAAAGAAAGAAAGAAAGAAUAAAAAAACAAUAGAGAGAGGAAUAGAGAGAGUGGUAAAUACAGAAAGAAAGAAAGAAAGAAAGAAAGAAAGAAAGAAAGAAAGAAAGAAUAAAAAAACAUUAGAGAGAGGAAUAGAGAGAGAGUGGUAAAUACAGAAAGAAAGAAAGAAAGAAAGAAAGAAAGAAAGAAAGGAAGAGAGGAAGAGAGGAAGCGAUAGAGAGAGGAAUUGAGAGAGGGAGGUACAUAUAGAAAGAAAGAAAGAAAGAAAGAAAGAAAGGAAGAGAGGA